rnacentral:rRNA from 1 species
UCAAAUUUGAAAUCUGGGUCUUUCAGGCUCCGAGUUGUAAUUUGUAGAAGAUGCUUUGGGUGCGGCCCCGGUCUAAGUUCCUUGGAACAGGACGUCAUAGAGGGUGAGAAUCCCGUAUGUGAUCGGUGGCUUGCGCCCGUGUAAAGCUCUUUCGACGAGUCGGGUUGUUUGGGAAUGCAGCUCUAAAUGGGUGGUAAAUUUCAUCUAAAGCUAAAUAUUGGCCAGAGACCGAUAGCGCACAAGUAGAGUGAUCGAAAGAUGAAAAGCACUUUGGAAAGAGAGUUAAACAGUACGUGAAAUUGUUGAAAGGGAAGCGCUUGCAACCAGACUUGCGCGGGGUUGAUCAUCCGGGGUUCUCCCCGGUGCACUCGGCCUCGCUCAGGCCAGCAUCGGUUUCGGUGGUUGGAUAAAGGCCUUGGGAAUGUGGCCCCUCUCGGGGGGUGUUAUAGCCCUCGGUGCAAUGCAGCCUACCGGGACCGAGGACCGCGCUUCGGCUAGGAUGCUGGCGUAAUGGUUGUAAGCGACCCGUCUUGAAACACGGACCAAGGAGUCUAACAUCUAUGCGAGUGUUUGGGUGUCAAACCCAUACGCGGAAUGAAAGUGAACGGAGGUGAGAACCCUUAAGGGUGCAUCAUCGACCGAUCCUGAUGUCUUCGGAUGGAUUUGAGUAAGAGCAUAGCUGUUGGGACCCGAAAGAUGGUGAACUAUGCCUGAAUAGGGUGAAGCCAGAGGAAACUCUGGUGGAGGCUCGCAGCGGUUCUGACGUGCAAAUCGAUCGUCAAAUUUGGGUAUAGGG